UUUGAACCGCAUGGUUCAAAAGUGAAAGACGGUCUUGCUGUCACUUAUAGAUGAAUCCGCGCUGCAUUAGCUAGUUGGUAAGGUAACGGCUUACCAAGGCAACGAUGCAUAGCCGACCUGAGAGGGUGAUCGGCCACACUGGAACUGAGACACGGUCCAGACUCCUACGGGAGGCAGCAGUAGGGAAUCUUCCGCAAUGGGCGAAAGCCUGACGGAGCAACGCCGCGUGAGUGAUGAAGGUCUUCGGAUCGUAAAACUCUGUUAUUAGGGAAGAACAUAUGUGUAAGUAACUGUGCACAUCUUGACGGUACCUAAUCAGAAAGCCACGGCUAACUACGUGCCAGCAGCCGCGGUAAUACGUAGGUGGCAAGCGUUAUCCGGAAUUAUUGGGCGUAAAGCGCGCGUAGGCGGUUUUUUAAGUCUGAUGUGAAAGCCCACGGCUCAACCGUGGAGGGUCAUUGGAAACUGGAAAACUUGAGUGCAGAAGAGGAAAGUGGAAUUCCAUGUGUAGCGGUGAAAUGCGCAGAGAUAUGGAGGAACACCAGUGGCGAAGGCGACUUUCUGGUCUGUAACUGACGCUGAUGUGCGAAAGCGUGGGGAUCAAACAGGAUUAGAUACCCUGGUAGUCCACGCCGUAAACGAUGAGUGCUAAGUGUUAGGGGGUUUCCGCCCCUUAGUGCUGCAGCUAACGCAUUAAGCACUCCGCCUGGGGAGUACGACCGCAAGGUUGAAACUCAAAGGAAUUGACGGG
rnacentral:rRNA from 1 species